GUGUGUGUGUGUGUGUGUGUGUG
rnacentral:misc_RNA from 1 species